AGCUUCCUGUGUGCAAGCCUGCAGGUGCGCCAGUGCUCAGCAGAGGGCACUGAAUGCUGCGGCACUCGGGUUAACAGAUGGUAGUGAGCUGUCUGAACUACUUAAAAUUUUCAGGUAAAAGGGCAGCAAGCAUUCUUAAACUGCUGAGCGGCCCUCUAGGUGUUCUUUGCUGGGGCAGGGGAGUUAGCAGGGAGGAAGUGGAGAGAACUGGGAGAGUUGAGACCCUCCUUCUGAGCGUUAAGCUGCAUGUAGAUAAUAUCUGCAGGUGUGGCACAAUUGAAAAGGCAGUGGCUUUCAGGCUAGUCACUGCACGGACUAGUAAGGCAGCUCUCUUGCUCCCAGCACCGUGCAUCUGAUUCUCCGUUCUCAGGGACCACCUGACAUGGUUAAACAGCCCUGGCUUAACGUUCCAGACACUGCUGCCAAUACUUGCGGCUGUUAGUUCCUGAUUUCUGCUUAAGGUCGGUACUUUCCAGUAAAAACCGCCUAGAUACGCCUCUGCCCAUAUUUGACUAACAAAAUGCGUGUUAGCACAGCUUCCUGAUGAGCUGUCUUGCAAAUCUG
rnacentral:lncRNA from 1 species